GUCAGUGACCGUACCACCCUGAAUGUGCCAGAGUUUGUCUGAUCUCGAAAACUAAGCAGGGUCAAGCCUGGUUAGUGCUUGAAUGGGAGACCACCUGGGAAUACUGGGUGCUGUAGGCU
rnacentral:rRNA from 1 species